rnacentral:rRNA from 1 species
GACGAACGCUGGCGGCGUGCUUAACACAUGCAAGUCGAGCGGAAAGGCGCUGCGCUUGUGCCUUGCUCGUUUGGCGAACGGGGGAGUGACACGCGAGUAACCUGCCCUUGUCUUUCGGGUAUCUUCUCGAAACUGGGGCUAAUACCGGAGAGGAGAUCCUGCUCCACAGUGGGGGUUGGUGAGUGUCGGCGGUGGUGGAUGGACUCGCGGCUUAUGAGCUUCUUAGUGUGGUAGUGGCGUACCAAGGGUUAGACGGGUAGGCCGCCUGAGAGGUGGACCGGCGACAUUGGGACUGAGAGACGGCCCAGACGCGUACGGGAGGCAGCAGUGGGGAAUAUUGCGGAAUGGGCGGAAGCCUGAUGCGGCAACGCCGCGUGCGGGAUGACGGCUUUCGGGUUGUAAACCGCUUUGGCCGGUGACGAAGCCGGAGUGACGGUAAUGGGUAAGGAAGCACCGGCUAACUACGUG